rnacentral:rRNA from 1 species
GACGAACGCUGGCGGCGUGCUUAACACAUGCAAGUCGAACGGAAAGGCCCUGCUUUUGUGGGGUGCUCGAGUGGCGAACGGGUGAGUAACACGUGAGUAACCUGCCCUUGACUUUGGGAUAACUUCGGGAAACUGGGGCUAAUACCGGAUAGGAGCUCCUGCUGCAUGGUGGGGGUUGGAAAGUUUCGGCGGUUGGGGAUGGACUCGCGGCUUAUCAGCUUGUUGGUGGGGUAGUGGCUUACCAAGGCUUUGACGGGUAGCCGGCCUGAGAGGGUGACCGGCCACAUUGGGACUGAGAUACGGCCCAGACUCCUACGGGAGGCAGCAGUGGGGAAUAGUGCACAAUGGGCGGAAGCCUGAUGCAGCAACGCCGCGUGCGGGAUGACGGCCUUCGGGUUGUAAACCGCUUUCGCCUGUGACGAAGCGUGAGUGACGGUAAUGGGUGAAGAAGCACCGGCUAACUACGUG